rnacentral:rRNA from 1 species
GGGUUGUGAGGUUAAGCGACUAAGCGUACACGGUGGAUGCCCUGGCAGUCAGAGGCGAUGAAGGACGUGCUAAUCUGCGAAAAGCGUCGGUAAGGUGAUAUGAACCGUUACAGCCGGCGAUGUCCGAAUGGGGAAACCCAGUGCAAUUCGUUGCACUAUCGUUAACUGAAUACAUAGGUUAACGAGGCGAACCGGGGGAACUGAAACAUCUAAGUACCCCGAGGAAAAGAAAUCAACCGAGAUUCCCCCAGUAGCGGCGAGCGAACGGGGAGCAGCCCAGAGUCUGAAUCAGCUUGUGUGUUAGUGGAACGGUCUGGAAAGUCCGACGGUACAGGGUGAUAGUCCCGUACACCAAAAUGCACAGGUUGUGAACUCGAAGAGUAGGGCGGGACACGUGGUAUCCUGUCUGAAUAUGGGGGGACCAUCCUCCAAGGCUAAAUACUCCUGACUGACCGAUAGUGAACCAGUACCGUGAGGGAAAGGCGAAAAGAACCCCGGCGAGGGGAGUGAAAAAGAACCUGAAACCGUGUACGUACAAGCAGUGGGAGCACCUUCGGGUGUGACUGCGUACCUUUUGUAUAAUGGGUCAGCGACUUAUAUUCUGUAGCAAGGUUAACCGUAUAGGGGAGCCGCAGGGAAACCGAGUCUUAACUGGGCGUUAAGUUGCAGGGUAUAGACCCGAAACCCGGUGAUCUAGCCAUGGGCAGGUUGAAGGUUGGGUAACACUAACUGGAGGACCGAACCGACUAAUGUUGAAAAAUUAGCGGAUGACUUGUGGCUGGGGGUGAAAGGCCAAUCAAACCGGGAGAUAGCUGGUUCUCCCCGAAAGCUAUUUAGGUAGCGCCUCGUGAACUCAUCUUCGGGGGUAGAGCACUGUUUCGGCUAGGGGGUCAUCCCGACUUACCAACCCGAUGCAAACUACGAAUACCGAAGAAUGUUAUCACGGGAGACACACGGCGGGUGCUAACGUCCGUCGUGAAGAGGGAAACAACCCAGACCGCCAGCUAAGGUCCCAAAGUCACAGUUAAGUGGGAAACGAUGUGGGAAGGCACAGACAGCCAGGAUGUUGGCUUAGAAGCAGCCAUCAUUUAAAGAAAGCGUAAUAGCUCACUGGUCGAGUCGGCCUGCGCGGAAGAUGUAACGGGGCUAAACUGUGCACCGAAGCUGCGGCAGCGACACUAUGUGUUGUUGGGUAGGGGAGCGUUCUGUAAGCCUGCGAAGGUGGCCUGUGAGGGUUGCUGGAGGUAUCAGAAGUGCGAAUGCUGACAUAAGUAACGAUAAUGCGGGUGAAAAGCCCGCACGCCGGAAGACCAAGGGUUCCUGUCCAACGUUAAUCGGGGCAGGGUGAGUCGACCCCUAAGGCGAGGCCGAAAGGCGUAGUCGAUGGGAAACAGGUUAAUAUUCCUGUACUUGGUGUUACUGCGAAGGGGGGACGGAGAAGGCUAUGUUAGCCGGGCGACGGUUGUCCCGGUUUAAGCAUGUAGGCGGAGGUUCCAGGUAAAUCCGGUACCUUUUAACGCUGAGGUGUGAUGACGAGGCACUACGGUGCUGAAGUAACAAAUGCCCUGCUUCCAGGAAAAGCCUCUAAGCAUCAGGUAACAUUGAAUCGUACCCCAAACCGACACAGGUGGUCAGGUAGAGAAUACCAAGGCGCUUGAGAGAACUCGGGUGAAGGAACUAGGCAAAAUGGUGCCGUAACUUCGGGAGAAGGCACGCUGAUAUGUAGGUGAAGCCCCUGCGGGUGGAGCUGAAAUCAGUCGAAGAUACCAGCUGGCUGCAACUGUUUAUUAAAAACACAGCACUGUGCAAACACGAAAGUGGACGUAUACGGUGUGACGCCUGCCCGGUGCCGGAAGGUUAAUUGAUGGGGUUAUCCGUAAGGAGAAGCUCUUGAUCGAAGCCCCGGUAAACGGCGGCCGUAACUAUAACGGUCCUAAGGUAGCGAAAUUCCUUGUCGGGUAAGUUCCGACCUGCACGAAUGGCGUAAUGAUGGCCAGGCUGUCUCCACCCGAGACUCAGUGAAAUUGAACUCGCUGUGAAGAUGCAGUGUACCCGCGGCAAGACGGAAAGACCCCGUGAACCUUUACUAUAGCUUGACACUGAACAUUGAGCCUUGAUGUGUAGGAUAGGUGGGAGGCUUUGAAGCGUGGACGCCAGUCUGCGUGGAGCCAACCUUGAAAUACCACCCUUUAAUGUUUGAUGUUCUAACGUUGGCCCCUGACCGGGGUUGCGGACAGUGUCUGGUGGGUAGUUUGACUGGGGCGGUCUCCUCCCAAAGAGUAACGGAGGAGCACGAAGGUUAGCUAAUCCUGGUCGGACAUCAGGAGGUUAGUGCAAUGGCAUAAGCUAGCUUGACUGCGAGCGUGACGGCGCGAGCAGGUGCGAAAGCAGGUCAUAGUGAUCCGGUGGUUCUGAAUGGAAGGGCCAUCGCUCAACGGAUAAAAGGUACUCCGGGGAUAACAGGCUGAUACCGCCCAAGAGUUCAUAUCGACGGCGGUGUUUGGCACCUCGAUGUCGGCUCAUCACAUCCUGGGGCUGAAGUAGGUCCCAAGGGUAUGGCUGUUCGCCAUUUAAAGUGGUACGCGAGCUGGGUUUAGAACGUCGUGAGACAGUUCGGUCCCUAUCUGCCGUGGGCGCUGGAGAAUUGAGGGGGGCUGCUCCUAGUACGAGAGGACCGGAGUGGACGCAUCACUGGUGUUCGGGUUGUCAUGCCAAUGGCAUUGCCCGGUAGCUAAAUGCGGAAGAGAUAAGUGCUGAAAGCAUCUAAGCACGAAACUUGCCCCGAGAUGAGUUCUCCCUGACUCCUUGAGAGUCCUGAAGGAACGUUAAAGACGAUGACGUUGAUAGGUCGGGUGUGUAAGCGUAGCGAUACGUUGAGCUAACCGAUACUAAUGAACCGUGAGGCUUAACCUUACAACGCCGAAGGUGUUU